UACGUAGGGGGCGAGCGUUGUCCGGAAUUAUUGGGCGUAAAGCGCGCGUAGGCGGUCUGUUAAGUCCGAUGUGAAAACUCUCGGCUCAACUGGGAGAGGCCAUUGGAAACUGAUGGGCUAGAGUGCAGGAGAGGGAAGUGGAAUUCCUAGUGUAGCGGUGAAAUGCGCAGAUAUUAGGAAGAACACCAGUGGCGAAGGCGGCUUCCUGGACUGUUACUGACGCUGAGGUGCGAAAGCUAGGGGAGCGAAC
rnacentral:rRNA from 1 species